CGGGGCUUAGCUCAGCCUGGUAGAGCGCACGGUUCGGGUCCGUGAGGUCGGAGGUUCGAAUCCUCUAGCCCCGACCA
rnacentral:tRNA from 1 species